GCCGUCUUUGUAUUUUUGUCCCGCCUUAGGUCGUGCAGAGGUCGCGACAGCUGUUGGCCCCUGCCCUCGUGUGACGAGACAUGGCUGUCUCCACGCCCUCAGUGUCCCCUCAACGUCGGCCAGUACGUCAAUAACCACACAAAAGAAUACCCUCCUAACGUGGCCUACCAGGAGUUUUCUGUACCUGUCGACUUCCCCGUUCAUCUGAGACAAUAUUUGCCAAA
rnacentral:sRNA from 1 species